rnacentral:rRNA from 1 species
GCAAGUCGAACGGUAACAGGGAGCUUGCUCCGCUGACGAGUGGCGAACGGGUGAGUAAUACAUCGGAACGUGCCCAGUAAUGGGGGAUAGCUCGGCGAAAGCCGGAUUAAUACCGCAUACGCCCUGAGGGGGAAAGUGGGGGACCGCAAGGCCUCACGUUAUUGGAGCGGCCGAUGGCUGAUUAGCUAGUUGGUAGGGUAAAGGCCUACCAAGGCGACGAUCCCUAGCUGGUCUGAGAGGAUGAUC